rnacentral:rRNA from 1 species
GACGAACGCUGGCGGCGUGCUUAACACAUGCCAGUCGAACGAAGUGGCGAACGGGUGAGUAACGCGUAAUCAACCUGCCCUUCAGAGGGGGACAACAGUUGGAAACGACUGCUAAUACCGCAUACUGAAGGAGGGGAUUGCGUCGGAUUAGCGGGUUGGAGGGGUAACGGCCCACCAAGACGAUGAUCAGUAGCAGGGCUGAGAAGAGUAACGGCCACAAUGGGACUGAGACACGGGCCAGACUCCUACGGGAGGCAGCAGUGGGGAAUCUUCCGAAAUGGACGAAAGUCUGACGGAGCAACGCCGCGUGAGUGAUGACGGCCUUCGGGUUGUAAAGCUCUGGUAAGCGGGACGCGGUACCGGAAUAGAAAGCCACGGCUAACUACGUGCCAGCAGCCGCGGUAAUUC